UUGUUUGCAGUUAAAAGCUUCGUAGUUGGAUUUCGGAAGGUCCUUAGUAAUCCGCCCCUUCGGGGAGCGGGUUACUGGCCUCCUAUGUUCCUAACGGUCCUCAUCCGCGAGGGUGGGGAAUCAACCGCUAGGAUCGUUUACUUUGAGGAAAUUAGAGUGUUCAAAGCAGGCGUAACUCGCCUCCGAAUACGUUAGCAUGGGAUAAUGGAAUACGACUUCGGUCUUGUUUCGUUGGUUUCGCUUGGCUGAAGUAAUGAUUGAUAGGGACAGUUGGGGGCAUUAGUAUUUAGUUGUCAGAGGUGAAAUUCUAGGAUUUACUAAAGACUGACCAAUGCGAAAGCAUUUGCCAAGGAUGUUUUCAUUAAUCAAGAACGAAAGUAGGGGGAUCGAAGACGAUCAGAUACCGUCGUAGUCUCUACCGUAAACUAUGCCGACCAGGGAUCCGGAGAGUUUGCAUGGAUGACUCCCCGGGCACCUUGUGAGAAAUCAUAAGUGUUUGGGUUUUGGGGGGAGUAUGGUCGCAAGGCUGAAACUUAAAGGAAUUGACGGAAGGGCACCACCAGGAGUGGAACCUGCGGCUUAAUUU
rnacentral:rRNA from 1 species